CUCAUCUUGGCUGGAGCUCCCUUCCUCACUUCCAGCGUUCUGCAUUGGACCUGUUAUGAAUGAACAAGAAGUCUAGGACAGGCUACUGGCAGGGUCAUUUGAGAGCUCUGAGGAGUCUUCUUCAUCUGAAGAGCCUGCGCUGGAUGACUCCUCAUCACUAUCAGCUAGACAUCAAUGGAGGGUUUGGAUGCUCCAAGGAUUCGGGGGGUGGCCGAGCCCAUGUCCAGUUCUGUCAGAGUUAGCUCAUUCAUGAAUUUCAGUCAGUUCUAAAGAGAAGUGUUGCUAGGUGCCUUUCUCCACUCACCCGUAUCUUGCUGAGCUUCAUCUGAAUCUUCUUGGAG